AUUGAACGCUGGCGGCAGGCCUAACACAUGCAAGUCGAGCGGAUGAAGAGAGCUUGCUCUCUGAUUCAGCGGCGGACGGGUGAGUAAUGCCUAGGAAUCUGCCUGGUAGUGGGGGACAACGGUUCGAAAGGAACGCUAAUACCGCAUACGUCCUACGGGAGAAAGUGGGGGAUCUUCGGACCUCACGCUAUCAGAUUAGCAGAGGUAUGAUUGGCUAGUUGGUGAGGUAAAGGCUCACCAAGGCGACGAUCGUUAACUGGUCUGAGAGGAUGAUCAGUCACACUGGAACUGAGACACGGUCCAGACUCCUACGGGAGGCAGCAGUGGGGAAUAUUGGACAAUGGGCGAAAGCCUGAUCCAGCCAUGCCGCGUGUGUGAAGAAGGUCUUCGGAUUGUAAAGCACUUUAAGUUGGGAGGAAGGGCAGUAAGUUAAUACCUUGCUGUUUUGACGUUACCGACAGAAUAAGCACCGGCUAACUUCGUGCCAGCAGCCGCAGUAACAC
rnacentral:rRNA from 1 species